UCCCUGGUAGUAUAUCGGUUAGUACACGCGCCUGUCAUCGCACUUGUAACCGCGCGAAAGCUGGGUUCGACUCCCAGCCAGGGAG